rnacentral:rRNA from 1 species
AAAAACUCCGGUGGUAUGAGAUGGGCCCGCGUCUGAUUAGCUAGUUGGUGAGGUAACGGCUCACCAAGGCAACGAUCAGUAGCCGACCUGAGAGGGUGACCGGCCACAUUGGGACUGAGACACGGCCCAAACUCCUACGGGAGGCAGCAGUGGGGAAUAUUGCACAAUGGGGGAAACCCUGAUGCAGCGACGCCGCGUGAGCGAUGAAGUAUUUCGGUAUGUAAAGCUCUAUCAGCAGGGAAGAAAAUGACGGUACCUGACUAAGAAGCCCCGGCUAACUACGUGCCAGCAGCCGCGGUAAUACGUAGGGGGCAAGCGUUAUCCGGAUUUACUGGGUGUAAAGGGAGCGUAGACGGCGAUGCAAGCCAGAUGUGAAAGCCCGGGGCUCAACCCCGGGACUGCAUUUGGAACUGUAUAGCUAGAGUGUCGGAGAGGCAGGCGGAAUUCCUAGUGUAGCGGUGAAAUGCGUAGAUAUUAGGAGGAACACCAGUGGCGAAGGCGGCCUGCUGGACGAUGACUGACGUUGAGGCUCGAAAGCGUGGGGAGCAAACAGGAUUAGAUACCCUGGUAGUCCACGCCGUAAACGAUGACUACUAGGUGUCGGGCAGCAAAGCUGUUCG